UAAAUAGCUAGGCCUAGCAUUGCUAGGUCGCCAGCUUCUUAGAGGGACUAUCGGUGUUUAACCGAUGGAAGUUUGAGGCAAUAACAGGUCUGUGAUGCCCUUAGAUGUUCUGGGC
rnacentral:rRNA from 1 species